rnacentral:rRNA from 1 species
GACGAACGCUGGCGGCGUGCUUAACACAUGCAAGUCGAACGGAAAGGCCCUGCUUUUGUGGGGUGCUCGAGUGGCGAACGGGUGAGUAACACGUGAGUAACCUGCCCUUGACUUUGGGAUAACUUCAGGAAACUGGGGCUAAUACCGGAUAGGAGCUCCUGCUGCAUGGUGGGGGUUGGAAAGUUUCGGCGGUUGGGGAUGGACUCGCGGCUUAUCAGCUUGUUGGUGGGGUAGUGGCUUACCAAGGCUUUGACGGGUAGCCGGCCUGAGAGGGUGACCGGCAACAUUGGGAAUGAGAGACGGCGCAGAAUCCAACGGGAGGCAGCAGUGGGGAAUAUUGCAAAAUGGGAGGAAGCCUGAUGAAGAAACGCGGCGUGCGGGAUGAAGGCCUUCGGGUUGUAAACCGAUUUCGCCUGUGACGAAGCGUGAGUGACGGUAAUGGGUAAAGAAGCACCGGCUAACUACGUG